rnacentral:tRNA from 1 species
UAACAUAGAAGUAAAAAAUACAUUUAGCUUCGACCUAAAUUAAUAGGAUUAAAUAUCCUCAUGUUUU